rnacentral:rRNA from 1 species
UCAGGCCUAACACAUGCAAGUCGAACGGCAGCACGGGUGCUUGCACCUGGUGGCGAGUGGCGAACGGGUGAGUAAUACAUCGGAACGUACCUUAUCGUGGGGGAUAACGCAGCGAAAGUUGCGCUAAUACCGCAUACGCCCUGAGGGGGAAAGCGGGGGACCGUAAGGCCUCGCGCGAUUAGAGCGGCCGAUGUCUGAUUAGCUUGUUGGUGAGGUAAAAGCUCACCAAGGCGAUGAUCAGUAGCUGGUCUGAGAGGACGAUCAGCCACACUGGGACUGAGACACGGCCCAGACUCCUACGGGAGGCAGCAGUGGGGAAUUUUGGACAAUGGGGGCAACCCUGAUCCAGCAAUGCCGCGUGAGUGAAGAAGGCCUUCGGGUUGUAAAGCUCUUUUGUCAGGGAAGAAACAGCAGCUCUAACACAGUUUGCGA